ensembl:snRNA U6 U6 spliceosomal RNA
GUGCUUGUUUGAGCAGUUUAUAUACUAAAAUUGGAAUGAUACAGAGAAGAUUAGCUUGGCACCUGUGUAAGGAUGACAUGCAAAUUUGUGGAGUGUUCUAUAUUUAA